rnacentral:rRNA from 1 species
UACGUAGGGCGCAAGCGUUAUCCGGAAUUAUUGGGCGUAAAGAGCUCGUAGGCGGUUUGUCGCGUCUGCCGUGAAAGUCCGGGGCUCAACUCCGGAUCUGCGGUGGGUACGGGCAGACUAGAGUGAUGUAGGGGAGACUGGAAUUCCUGGUGUAGCGGUGAAAUGCGCAGAUAUCAGGAGGAACACCGGUGGCGAAGGCAGGUCUCUGGGCCGAUAUUGACGCUGAGGAGUGAAAGCGUGGGGAGCGAACAGG